UCUGUAUUUGUUCAGACUAUUUUGGACCUGGUAAUGUGUAAAUAUGCAGGUUUAAUAAAUAAUCUCAGAAUUAGAGAUGCUCUCGUGAACGGUAAUCAUAACAUAAUAGAAUUUUGAAUUCAAUUUGAAAGUGAGAGACUUGGGUCAGAAACAACAGUGCUAAAUAUAAGAAAGCAUCAUUAUAUAGCGAUGAAAAGAGAAUCAGCUGAAGUGGCUUAGAGAAGGGCUUUGGAAGAAAUGAAGAUUGAAGGAACAAUAGAAGAUAUUUAAGAAAAUGGCUUAUGAUUCAUAACAAAGAUAUAGUUCAUGACUCAUAACAAAAAUACAUCCCAGUGAGAGAGGAAGCAAGGAUGGGAAUAACCCAACAAUGGUCAACCAACCAAGUUAAAGGUAGUUUCAAAUUGAAAGAAAAUUGUAUAAUAUGGCAAGGGUUUGUGGAAAACCAGAGAACUUGGAACAUUUUGAAAGAGAACAAAAGGCAAUAAAAAACUACAAGGUUUACAUUAGCACAUAAUAUCAAGUUGGACAGCAAGAGAUUCCUUAAAUAUACAAAAAUGAUCAGAGUGGCCAAACUGAACAUAAGUCUCUUAGACAAUGAGGUUAUAGAAAUAAUAAUGGGACCUGGGAAGUAGCAGAUAAGUUGAAUAAAUGUUUUGCAUCAGCCUUCAUAGUGGAGGACUGUAAUAGCAUUCCAAAAGUAAUUGAGUGACCCAAGCGGUGGAGUUGGGUUUGGAGGUGGUAAUGAAUGGUGGAAUAAACCAAAUAGCUAUCACUAGAUAAAAAGCGACUAGGGAAACAAAUUGAGCUAAAGACUGAUAGGUCACUGGACUUGAUAUGUUGCAUCCUAGGAUUUAAAAAGAAGUAGCUACAGAGAUGGUAGAUACACUGAUAGUAAUCAUCCAUGAAUCAUUGGAUUUGGGAGAAGUCCCAGAUCCAUGGGAAACUAAAAUGAAACACCGUUAUUCAAAAACAAUGUGGGAAAAAUAACAUUCAACUAAAGCCCAGUCAGUUUACUGUCUAUCAAUGGGAAAGAAAAUGUUGGAGUCCCUUAUAAAGGUUAUAAAAGCAGUCUAUUUACAAAUACAGAAUAAAAUCAAGCAGGGUCAGAAUGGCUUCUUGAAGGGGAAAUCAUGCCCAACAAUUUACUACAUUCUUUAGAGAAGGUGACUAGCAAUAUGAAUAAUGGGGACCAGUAGAUGCAAUAUAUUUAGAUUCCUAAAAAGUGUUCAACAGGAAUGUUGAAUGAGAUAUAUGCUAACUAACAAAUUAUUGAGAUUUCAAAUAAAGGGGACAUUUUCAGGAUGACAUCUGUAACUACUAGAAGGCCAUAAUUAUUUACAAUAUAUAUUAAUGGCAUAGUUGAUGAAAGAUGAAAGUACUAUUGCCAAGUUUGUGGAUGACACAAAAAUACGUGGUAAUACAAAUGGUGAGAGCAAUGCAAUGACUCUAUAGAGGGAUUGAGACAGGUUGAGUGGGAAAUAAUUUAGCAGAAGGAAUAUGAUAUGGGAAAAUAUGGGCUUAUGCUCUUUGUCAGGAUGAAUAGAAGGGCUGAAUGUUAUUUAAAUGUAAAAAGAAACUGCAGCAGGAAGGAUUUAUGGAUCCUUGUUCAUUAAACACAAAACAUUGCAGCAGAGUUUGGUAGAUAGUAGGGAAGGGAAAUGGAUUGUUGACCUUUGUAUUAACUGGAAUGCAGUGUAAAAAAAUAAGGAAGUCUUGCUAAAACUAUGCAAGGCACUCCUUAGAUUACAUCAGAAAAUGUUUUCCAUGAAUAAUUAAGCUGGAAAAUAAUGAGUAAUAAUAAUAAUGAAGAUAUUCUGGCAUUGGAGGCAAUCAAAGGUUCUCUAGAUUGGCCACAGUGAGGAUUUCUUAUGAGAAGUGGUUGAGUAGGUUAGGCUUGUCCUCACUGAAGUUUAGAAGACUGAAAAUAAGACCUUGCUGAAGCAGCUAAGAGUAUUAGGAGGCUUGACAAGAUAGGUGCAAAAGGUUGUUUCUUGUUGAGGGGUCGUGUUGAACCACAGGCCAUAAUAAGGGAUCACCAUUUAGGACAAUGAUAAGGAAUAAUUCAUUCUCUCAGAGGGUAGAUAAUCUGUGCAAAUCUUUGCUGCAGAGGGUUAUGUAUCCUGCAUCAAUAAAUAUACUCAAGGCUGAGAUAGACGGAUUUUAAUCAGUAAAGGAUUCAAGGGUUAUGGGGAAAAGUCAGAAAAGUGGAGUUGAGAGUUGUCAGAUCAGCCAUGAUCUCAUUAAAUGACAAUGCAGACUCAAUGGCCUAUUUCUUCUUCCGCAUGUUAUGGCCCAUAUUGACCAUUACCUAUUCUUAAGUAUUAAUGCUGACACUGUUUCAGUACUAAAUCUUGUAAAACAUUCUGCGGGCUAACAAGCAUCUACCUGUAUGUUACAUAAUUCAUUGCAAAGUCAUGUAUCUCACACAUGACAAUACUUUACCAUUUUUCAAGUUAUUCUUUUCUGUGUCUCCAGUAAACACUCAAUUUCUUUGCAUGAGAAAAUAACAGUCCCAAAUCUAUGUUCAACAAUUUUGAAUUUUCAAGUGUAGGACGGACAUUUAAAGAUAUUUAAUGAUCUUUACCAGCUCUAAUUUAAUGAUUAUUAUCUGAUAGUCUAUUAGUAGAUGAGUUCCAUGAUGAUACUAUGGAGAUGGUUUCAUCCCUUAAAAGUAGAGUUGGUGAAUCUUCAACUUUUUUCAUGUUGAUCAUAUGUAAUUUAGAUUAGAUAGGCUGUUCCCAGAAUAAAACAUAACCUGAGGUUACAAGUCACAAAUGAUAUGCUAUCAUUAUAAUUAGAAUUUAACUACUUACAAUAAAUAACUUAAGAUGGUGAUGCUAAUGUUGCUGAGCAAAUAAACCUGCAUCUGCAAGACAUAGCACUUUAAUUAAUAAUCUCUGACAUCCUCUCUCUACAAUAUGUUAAUAUGCUGAAACUUAUUAAAAGUGGUAAAAUGUUAACAUCAUAAAAAGUAUCUGCUACGCUUCAGCAGGCAAUCUUUCUUAAUGAGUAUACCACAGGUAUUGUAUCUAUCUGUUUGCUUGUGUUUAAUAAGCAAUUUUCUUAUUUCCUCUGAGCUUCCUUGGUUCCAUACUUUUCAAUGAAUCAUAGGAUGCCUACAACACACAAUGAAGCUGUUUGCAUGACAGGUCUGUGCUGACUGUCUGCAAGACCAAUUCCUCUUAAUCUGACUCCUCAGGUGCUUCCCUGUAGCUCUGUAAAUCUAUUUUCUUCAGAUAAUUAACCAAUUCUUUUUCAAAACCUCGAGUAAAUCUGCCACCAUCACUCUCUUCGGUGGUAAAUUCAUGAUGCUAACCACAUACUACACAAAAAAAACCUUUUCCUCAUGUCACAACGUGUUCUUUUGCAAAUUACAUAAAACAGUAUCUUCUGGUUCUCAAUCAUUCCCCUAAUGGGAACUGUCAUUCCCUGUGUAAUCUGCCUAGACUGCCUCGUGAUUUUGAGCAUUUCUAUCAAUUCUACUCUCAAUCUUUUCUUCUUUGAGGAGAAAAAUUCAAGCUUCUUCAGUCUCUUCAUGUAAUUAAAGUCUCUCAUCCCUGGAAUUAGGCUCAUGAACCAUUUCUGCACCCUCACUGACACCAUCACAUCUUUCUCUUAUGAUUGUUUUCAUAAGCAUUUCUUGGUAAAAUUAUGUAUUGUUUUUGAGUAAAUUAAACAAACACUCAGUAAAAUGUAUAUUUAUCAUGACUGGAGUAUCUGGGGGAGCGAAGCUCUGUUUUCAUUGCUUCUGAAUACACUUUUGGAAUUGUUGGAAACUAAGCCUAAGAGAAAUUGUUGGAAGACAGCAUUAAUUUUCUUUAAUUUGUGAUAUCUUUAUACAUCAGUUGCACAUUAUCAAUUUAAAUAAUGAUACGACAGUUUUUAAGAGCUGGACACGUGUGUUAUAUAUAAAAGCACACUAGGUUGAUACUAUUUAUUAAUUAUACUUUAUUUGUGGAUAUAAAAAUGCAUUAAGAUCCUUAUAUAUGCAUUAGAUUAGUAGCUGAUGAAUCAGAGGAGCUACCACCUUUCCAUCAGUUGCUACAAACUAAGUACAGAUGACUGAAAAAAGGAUGUGUUUCUUUUAAAUGAAAAUCUCUAUAGUUCCAUCUCCUUAACAACAACAAUGAAAACACAUAUAUAUUUAGAUAUCAUCUAAAACAUAAUAAAACGAUAUCAAGUGCUUCACAGAAAUAUUACAAUGCAGGAUAUGGCACUAAAAUACAGAAGGAGCUCUGUAGAUCAGAUGAUCAGAAGCUAAUCAAAGAUGUAGGCUUUAGGAGCAUCUUAAAAGAGGAACAUUAGGCUGAGAACUGGAGAGGUUAAGGAAGUUAAGCCCCUUGGUAUUUGAAAGUACAACCAACAAUGGUGAAGCAGUUAAACUAGACUUAACCAACAAGCCAGAUUUAGGUCAACACCGAUAUCAUUGGAGGGUUAUACCUGGGGAGAUUAUAGAGACAAGGAUGUAUGAAGCAAUGCCAGCAACUGGUACUAUGGGUAAGAUUUUAAAAUCAUGAUUUUGGUUGACUGGGAACUGAUGUAGGUUGGGUAGCCCACAAUAAUAGUGGAAAGGACUUGCUGUGAUUUAAGGUUAAUGCAGAAGAAUUUUAGAUGACCUCAAUUCUAUGGAAUAUAUGUGGGAGACCAACCGGGAGUAUGCUGAAAUAAACACGUUUAGAGGCAACGAAGAGAUAAAUGAGAGAUUUGACAGCAAUUGUACUGAAACAGAGGAGAAGUCGGGCAAUGUUAUGAAAGCAGAAAUGAACAGUUUCAGUGAUAGAGAAAAUGGGUGGUUAGGAGCCAAUCUCUGGAUCAAAUGUGAUCCAGUUUUACUUCUCUAAUUAUGUGGCUGCAGCAUCUCUCAUUCUUGAAAAUAAUUUUGUAAAUCCUCUCUACAACAUCUCUGGUGAAUUCACAUUCUUCCCGAAGUGUGGCAUGUAGAAUUGCCUAGUAUUUUAGAAGGGCUCAGUUAACCGUAUUAACUGCCUUCUCAAUCUAAUGUAUCCUGCCAGUUUCAAUAUUUGCAUAUCUUUACCACCAGGUCCCUCUGCUCCUACACUCCUGUAGAGUAUUAUCCUUUAGUUUAUACUGUCUUUCCUCAGCCUUCUUGCUGAAAUGUAUCACUUUACACUACUCAGCCUGUAUAUUAAAUUUCAUCUGCCACAUGCACUAUGUCUCUCAAUCCCUUAAGCCAAUACACACAGACGCAUACACAUACACACAAUCACAUGCAAGCCAAUGCAUUAUUUACUCUUGUUUAAAACUAAUCACUUUGAAUCUUGCAACUGUGCUUUUAUUUCUUCCAUAUUAAUAAAUGUAAAUUGGUUGGAUGAAGUUCCAUGUGCUUGUUUUUUUCACAUGGUGAUGAAAUGGGCAACAAAGAAAUUGGUGUCCUGACAGAAGAAGUGCAUCAUGAGUUUGAGAGCAGGAUGGCAAAAUUAUGUCAGGUUGCACACUUUUGCCAGACUCUUUAAAAAAAGCUAUGUAGGAGCUGUGUUGAUUAUCUGUGGGCCAGUGUUUCACAUAUAUGUUCCUUCACCCCAGUAUUGAAGGAGAUUAGAAAAUCAGAGAUAACACUCCAGACAAAUAUCUUCUUCAAGCAUAAUCAUGAAAGGACACCCAGGAACAACACAUCCAAGGAUGGUUUUGAGCAGGGGAAGACAUCACACAGAAGGGUGGUGACAUCAGACGGGUGAUGGUGUGCUGGACAUCCAAUUCCUUAACCUCUGAGGGAUAGAAUCUUGACCUGGCAGGAGAGGUCAAGGACUGCUCCUGCGCUGAUGCUGAGCCAUCCAUGUCCUGACAGCUGAUUUAUCGAACGUUCAUAGAACACCAGACUUCUCCAUGUUUGUCCAUUGAUGGAGUCUUCAAGAUCUUCCCUUUGAUAACACAUACGUGCGUUUUAAAAGAGAGAAAAAAAUCCUUGCAUGCAGUUUCCUUGCUCGAGCCCUUUUGCAUCAGCAUCUCGUCACUUACUGGUUCUACCCAUUCAGGAAUAGUUUUGGACACAUUUCCUUGAAAAGCGACCGGAGGUACUGAAUGAGUCAGAUCAACGUCACUGAACUGAGAGUCCUUGUCUCUUUCCACAGUUUCAAAAUGAACACCAGAAAUGUAUUUAGACCUUCUCGGAUACAGAUGGUGUGCAGAAGUAUGGAAAAAGGCCGGAGAUUGGCGCUAAGUAAUGGCCUCCUGCUCUGUAAUCAUUGUAAUCCUCAAGAUUCCUUUAUUUUAAAUAAAAAUAAUUUUGGACAUUCGUCAGCAUAUCAUCAUCAAUCAAGAGAGAGUUUCAAACAUACUUUUAACACCAAACGAACGGACCAAAACGGAGCUAACGUACUUUUUGGCAAUACAUAGACCAUGAUGUUUCCAAGCCCGUGUGGAUUUAGUAGGUUCGAAAUGAAUGUAAACAUACGUUGAUCACCAGUGCUGUCAAGCAGCAGCGAAUUACCUGUGACAUUUCCAGGAAUAGGGAUUAGAUCUAUGAUUUUUUUUGGAGCUGUAUUCAAGCACACAGGCUGCACAGACACGCGAAGAGAAGAUGCCUGCCGGGCACAUAACUACACGACUCUGAAGGGGAGAGGAUAAUGAUCAGGGAAGCAUUGUCCGGAUUAUGUGAUAAAUGAUAACACAACAAAAAACGCCUGCGGAGUGUUUCCAACAAUGUCUAUGUUUAUUUCCGAUUUUCAACACCUGCAGCAUUUUGAUUUUGUACGUGUGUAGCUCAGAAGUCCCUCCCCAACGGUGACAUCACGAACGUAUCGAAUGAUUAAUAAUAGUUCCAGUUUCAUCACCUGGAUUGCAAACCUACAGAUCACGAGGGAUAUCUUCCUCAACCCGACACAGGAUCGAUCGGAUUGGAUUGGAAUGGAACUCAUGUGUUUACUGGGGAACGAGCUCACUGAUCCUAAACCAAAGACAGUGUGGAGAAAACAUGUGAAACUUGUUUUGUGUGCUCAUAUAAUUCAUCAAGCUGUAAAAUGUGGACCCAUCGAUAAGUUGGUAGGCAUUUUUCCACAACGAAAGGUUCGAGCUCACCUUCAGUGUUACUGUUCCUGGGGUGUAAACAUUAAAUUGUACCCCAGGCAAGUAGUCUCUCCCAAAGGUACGAAACGAGUCAAAAAUCAAGAAGAAAAAUGUUUGAUUCCUGUAUUUAAAAUAUACUAUAAUUUUAGUAUUCGUCACAACAUUUUUAUAAGCGGAAAGCUGCGCUGUAAAUUUGAUAAAUUUUGCUACUGAUCUUACUGAAGUGCAAUAUUCAAUGCCAUUUAACGGUAAGAAGACGGACUAUUAUAUCAACAGACUUUGCCCUUUCUCCCAGGUCUCUGGCAAUACAGAACUGAUCAGCAUUUCAAAAAUAAUUUGGAGAACAUAGCACGGCGAUCUUAAGUACCCGAACUAGUUUUGGUGACAUUUGUAAAUUAUGCAUGAGAAAUCAUACAGAGCCUUAACUAACGAAAUUGCUUGGAGUUUUACUUGUUUAAUAAAUUACAAUGUUUACUACUGGGAAAGUAAACACAA